GGCGCUGCCUAAUAAUGCAAGUCGAGCGGACAGAUGGGAGCUUGCUCCCUGAUGUCAGCGGCGGACGGGUGAGUAACACGUGGGUAACCUGCCUGUAAGACUGGGAUAACUCCGGGAAACCGGGGCUAAUACCGGAUGCUUGAUUGAACCGCAUGGUUCAAUUAUAAAAGGUGGCUUUUACCUACCACUUACAGAUGGACCCCCGCCGCAUUACCUAGUUGGUGAGGUAACGGCUCACCAAGGCAACAAUGCGUAGCCAACCUGAGAGGGUGAUCGGCCACACUGGGACUGAGACACGGCCCAAACUCCUACGGGAGGCAGCAGUAGGGAAUCUUCCGCAAUGAACAAAAGUCUGACGAACCACCCCCCCGUGAGUGAUAAAGGUUUUCGAAUCGUAAAACUCUGUUGUUAGGGAAGAACAAGUACCGUUCAAAUAGGGCGGUACCUUGACGGUACCUAACCAAAAAGCCACGGCUAACUACUUGCCACCACCCGCGGUAAUACGUAGGUGGCAAGCGUUGUCCGGAAUUAUUGGCCGUAAAGCCCGCCCAGGCGGUUUCUUAAUUCUAAUGUGAAACCCCCCGCCUCACCCGGGAAGGGUCAUUGAAAACUGGGAAACUUAAUUCCAAAAAAGAAAAGUGAAAUUCCACUUGUAGCGGUGAAAUCCUUAAAGAUGUGAAGGACCCCCAUUGCCAAAGGCAACUCUCUGGCCUGUAACUAACUCUAAGGCCCAAAAGCUUGGGGACCGAACAGAAUUAGAUACCCUGUAAUUCCACGCCUUAAACCAAUAAGUGCUAAUUUGUAAAAGGGUUUCCCCCCCUUUAGUUGCUCCAGCCAAACCCAAUUAAGGCACUGCCCCCUGGGGGAGUACGGUCCCAAGAUUGAGACUGAAAAGGAAAUUGAAAGGGGGCCCGCCCGAAAGGGAGGAGCCAAUGGGUUUAUAU
rnacentral:rRNA from 1 species